GCCCCCGUGGCCCAACCGGCAGAGGCAGGCGACUUAAAAUCGCCCAAGUGCGAGUUCAAAUCUCGUCGGGGGCA
rnacentral:tRNA from 1 species